CAUUAAAAAUUUCAUUUAUUUAUACUGUUAAAAACUAGCAUGACGAAUAAAAUAACUUAAUAAUUACACGUAACAUACCAUGUAUAUCUCAUUCUGACAUACAAAGGCUAGCUUUUAACAGUAAAAUUGAUGACAUUUUUAACA
rfam:Gossypium hirsutum cultivar TM-1 chromosome 25, whole genome shotgun sequence